GGCAGUGUGGCCGAGCGGUCUAAGGCGCCACGUUAAGGUUCACCCUUAAUUACUAUCUUCGUGAUUCCGUGGUCCGAAAGGGCGUGAGUUCGAAUCUCACCGCUGUCA